rnacentral:snRNA from 1 species
UCUCCAAAUUAACUUUAGACAGC